CCCUUAGAUGUUCCGGGCCGCACGCGCGCUACACUGACGGAGGCAGCGAGCGUGUCCUUCGCCGGCAGGUGCGGGCAAUCUUGCGAGUCUCCGUCGUGCUGGGGAUAGAUGGUUGCAAUUGUCGAUCUUGAACGAGGAAUUCCUAGUAAGCGCGAGUCAUCAGCUCGCGCUGAUUACGUCCCUGCCCUUUGUACACACCGCCCGUCGCUACUACAGAGUGCCCGUGUCCAAGAAACGGUCGGACCUGUGCGGCCUCUCCGGGCGACCGGAGGGCCGUUACGGGGAAGACCCUUUAUUUGACGCGGGUCGAUGAAGUAAAAGUCGUAACA
rnacentral:rRNA from 1 species